CUUAAUUUGAAGAAGGUAAGAGUCAAACUAUUUUCAUCUAAAUCCAUAUAAAAAUAUGUAACUUAAAAUUUCUCUACCAUUUGCACCAUUUUCUACUUGUUCCAUACUUGUGUCACAUUAUUUCAUGUUCUGUAGAUUAAGUCGGUUAGGUUAAGGCAGAUAGCUUUUUGUUUACAUUUAUCGCCGCACCAUGUUAGGUACAUUCUGUGCGAAAAAAACUCUGCAGAGCCAUAUGUAGUGUAAGGGUCACAAAGCUGCUGCCAGAGACACAAAUGGACCCCGGAAAUGUCACAGUUUUGCUCCUCCUGAGCUCCCUGGAGGUUUAGUGGAUUUUUAACACACUGAUCUAACAUCAGUCUAUUUCUAACUAUUUUAAUUCUAUUUCAGUAAUGUUACUAUGGAGGUAAAUGUAGAUACACACACACACUUUGGUACCUUUCUAUCAUCAUCGAGAUUCUUAAUUAAUUAUGGUAAUAAAAAGUCCUACAUUUCAGUCGGUGAAACCUGCAGAAAGCAUUGCUUUCUGAGCUUUGUUAAAUGUUCCUUAAAUAUCUGUUAGUUAUGGAUUUCUAGUAUAUUUUGUCAGGCUAAAACUCUCAAUGGAUUAUCCAUUAUUACAGACUUGAGCUUUCUAUUUUUUUCUUUAAAAUACAUAUUCCUCUGCUGUAAAGAUGUUGGGGUUUUUUGGACUCUUCUUUGUUGUCCCCAAAUAAUUGUAGCUCAGAAACAAUAUUGAAGUUCAUUGGUUUAAUUUUGAAAUGUUGAUGUUUUUUGUGUUGAUUGUUUGUGCUCAUUUUGACCUUUGUUACUAUUGCUUUCUACCAUGUUCAAUUCACCAUUGUUCUGCACAUAUGUGCUUGCAUACAAGUGUCCAGUGGUUAUAUUCAUGAGGCAUUCAAGGGACUUGUACUAAAAGAUACAACUCAGUUCAGUAUGAAUUGCAUAUUUUAAUGGCUGAAAAUAUAUCUGAUCUCUUUCAGAACAUCACCUGUCUGUAAUCCACCUGCGAAGACACUGCUGAGGUCAGAUGAGAGUGCAUCCUCAAAGGUCUGUGUGUACCUAAAUGAAGAUCCAGAGAAGCUGGUGAGGGAGUACAUGGACGUUGAUGAAUGCGCAGAAAUGGCCAAAGCCGAGACUGUCCUCGGAAUCGUCAUUUGAGCAGAGGGUGCAGAGGCUGCCGAUGCACAUCUGGAUGUUGGGAUUGUCCUGGAGGAGGUGGAAGUUAUGAACAGCUUGGGCAGUGUAUCUUCUGCAAUAGUGAUGCUGCUGGGACUAAUCUAUGCACUAAACUUGAGCUACCCUCAAGUUUAGUGCGUUCAGCACUCAACUUGCUCAGUAACUCAAGCAUACCUUUGAAGUAAUACAGAAAAUAAUAAUGAAAUUGGAUGGAAAGAACUUAUCAAAGAAAGCACAAGUUCUCAAUAUGAAACUCGCUGCUAAGUUGAACAAAGUUUCACAUGGAAAAUGAGUGUUUAAAGUCUGCAGUAGAAAAGAUUUAUAUUGUUACAGUUCUCUAAGUUGAGCAACUAUACUGACAUGUUUUAUGUUGUAAAGAAUUGGCUGGGAAAUGAAACUGUAACCUUUUUGUAGUUGUUUUUUUAUUUCAAUGUCCAACUCAGCUGUGUUUUGUGCUGUGUAAAAAAACGAUGUAUAACAAUUCUGAAAAUACAAUUGUGUUGUACCUUU